CAUGUGACGAAUUAGGGUGAGUUCAUUCGCUAAUUUGCUCAUGAAUUAUUAAUGAGUUCUAGAUGUGAAUAUAAAUGUGCUUAUUAAGCAUUAUAGCUAGUAGCACACGUACCUGUAUUGGUAUGUAAAGUGUUAAAAAUAACACAACCCCCCCCCCCCCGGAAUGAAUGGAUAGUAUCUAAAACUACCAAAACUUGCCCACACAUGCUUCGAUACUGGAAUAUAUGUAACUGGGCGGUAUAAACUUAAAACUAAAGAGUUUAAUUACCAAAUUCCAAACACAAUUGAUCACCACCAGGACAAUCUUUGCCAGAAACUGUGGGACAGCUGCUGUAAUUUCAUAUAUUUUGAAAGGAAUAGCGCCCCCCGUUCGCCCCGUUCAAUGUUGGGCCAACGAAAAUCUGAUGUUUGGAUGCGCGGCGCUAACAUUGAAACGGGUGGGGGGAGGGAAGGUGGAAAAUAUGUAUCAGCAAAUGGUAUAUUACAAGCGAAUGCAUGUGAAAACUAGAUUGUCCCAAUCUAUAUUGUCAAAGAUUGUAGUUUCUGACAAAUUUGUAAUAAAACGACAAGAGGUUUCUCAUAGUUUGCAUGUAUAAAAGUAUGAAAUAG